UACAAUUCUUGAAAAUGAAAUUGAUGUCCAUGAAGAUGUAAAAAAGUCACUAACGAAUGCUCCUCUACUUAGACAGGGAUAACUUUCAAAUAUUUGGAGACACCUGUAUCAUGGGCAUGUGAACAGACACAAAAAUUGUACUAGGAAAUAAUUUUAACAAAUUCUGUUACAUUAUAGAACAUCGAAGAAUGUGCCCUAAAAGGGGCCAUAGCUGAUAUGCUCACAGUGACAGCGGUGUUCUAAGAGAGACAUGUGGCUAGACUCCAGCAAGUGUGAGGCCUUAUGUGGUUUUACUAGAUUAAUAAUAGAGCCGCCUCUGAUUAUAUCUAAUGGUGAUUUGAGGGUAUGUAAUUGUGUUGUACUUCUGUCACUCUGGCUGUUUUGAGUUUGGAUUACCAUGACUCUCAACCAGACAUUUUAAGCUGUCUGUACAUCAUGGUAGUGUAGCACCAAAAAGUAGUAAAUAUACUUGAUAAAUAAUUAUUUUUACUCAUCCAAAAGGAACUCCACUUUGUCCUAUUUUUUUGUUUUUUAAAUCAUGUUGCCUUAGGAGUGCACUGAACCCACCUAAAGAGGGCAAAAUCAUAGCUAAAUAUUUGAAAUUGAUGAUAAUUAAUAUAUGCAACUACUUGUGUGUCUUCCCCAAAUAAAUCGCACCAGAGUGAAUAAACAAACACAAAAAUUAAGCACAGAUAAAAUAUAAAUAAAUACAUGGACCCACAUCAGUGUAUUUAUGUUUUAGCCGUGUUUUAUAGUAUAUAUUGUGUUGAGGACACUGAACUUAAAUCUUUAGUAGAGAAAAGAGAAGUGCUAGAUCAAUACAUACAACAAAGCUGUUCUGUUUUUCUUUUAAAUUGUAGGGAGAUCGGAUUCAUCUGAUGCAAUUUGGUUGCAAACCUCUCAAACAAUGAUAAACGUUUUGCAUCAAAGAUGGAAUUUUAAUUGGCAUUUUAUUGCCAGCUGUGCUCUAGAUGAGUAUCAUUAAAACAAAGUCAAAACCUUAAAAUAUCUGUCUGCGCAUCCACAAUUACAAAAAAAUAAAAACAAAGUGUUGUAAACAGGGGCAACUCUAUGAACAAUAUGUUUGGGGGGCAUGCCACGAAACUGGGGGAAGGGGAAGGAAGGGCACUAAUAAUUUCCACUAGAGGGCUGGUUAACGUUCUGUCACUGGCUGUCUAAUGCUGGUAUCAAACAACACAAUUGCACAAAAUUCACAUUGGCCACCAAGAAUUCAUGAUCUGGGCUGGCUAAUGAUACCUAUUAACUUUGAUCUUUCAUUGGUUUAGCAGAUAACUUCCUUAAAUGCAGUCUUCUUGUGGGAUUGCCAUAUUUAAGGACACUAAAUAAGGGAGCUAUCUGCUAAACAGUGCUCUAGUUUGGUAUUCUUCAAUAAGGAAAUCUAAUAAGGGAACUACUUUAGGGCAUCAUCUGCUAAAUAGCUGAAAAGCCCAAAUGAAGAAUCACUUCUUAAUUUUUUAUAUUUUAGUUAUUUAGUAGAUAACUCUCUUAUUUGUAAUCCUUAUGUAGGAUCAGAAUAUUUAAGGAUAACAAAUUAAAGCCCUAUCCACCAAACAUGUAUACAUAUUUUAUAUAGAUAUACAGAUAUAAUCACAGACAUACACACAAUCACAUGCAUAAUCACAACACACACACACAACCACAGGCAUACUUACAAUCACAUGCAUAAUCACAACAUACACACACACACACAACCACAGGCAUACCUACAAUCACAAGCAUAAGCAUGGAUGCACACAAUCAAUGACUUACACCCACAAAGACACACAUACUGACAUACAAAAUCACAUUUAUACACACACACACACACAUUUAAUAAUAAGAGGUCCACCCAGCCUCCUUACCUUGCCCUGGGAGAUCUGGAGUAGAUCCACUCACUGGUAGACAGUGUUUUUUUUUGCAAGGGUCACUGUGCUCUCCCUGCACAGCUCCCUCACAUGUCCUGUAGUGAUACCUUUGCGGGAUUAUAUCCUAUCCUGGCUACUGGCUCACUGUAAGGGAGCAGUAGAGGAAGAGCACAGUAAGUACAGAGCGCCAUGCCUCCCAUGCUGCAUGGAGUCCCCAUCUUCCCUCAACUGAAAACCUAUUUUGAGAUAUUUUGUCAGAGAAGCCACUUGCCAUGUGGUUAGGCAGGCGCCUACUCUGCCCAGUUACUUAUUGUUAGGCGCACCUUCAAGUGGCCCCGCUUGAUCCCCUGUACUGACACAAUAUGUCAUAGAGAAGUAGAAUAAUGUGUGAAUAUAAAUACAGUGAAAUCUUUAGCAUUUUAUUAAAACAAAACUUGAAAUACUCUUUUAUAUUGUAGUACAUAUGCUUGUGUAGCGUCAUAAUCUUACAAUAGAAUGUAAUAUCUUAUACUUCACAUACUGCCAUUCACAAAAGCCUUUCAAAAGACUUCCAUUUUUGUCAGACCGCUCUUUAGACCUUUUUAUGCAAGUGAAAAAGCUAUUUUCUUAAGACUUCCUAAAAAGCAUUUAAAAGUUCACUUGUUACAGAUGCCAAACAACAUCCAAAAGGAUCCCUGGACGUCCGAGGCUUAACAUCUUUCUGAAAGGUUGCUCUCUAAUUUGUAUCUUACCAUGGAAAAUUGACUUGUAUCGAACAACAAAAUGAACACACAGACAUGUGAACUGUUUGAGAUGUUUUGGGGGGUUUUUAUGCGCAUGUUUUGGCAGAUUUUUCUGAAGCAUGAUGUAAAAUUUCCAGAUAUUGGUUAAAUAAUGGUAAACAAUGUGUAUAAUCCACAGUGAAAAAUAGAGGAAAAGAAAAAGUAUGUAUCGUUGUUUGCUGUCUGACCUGUAUGCUAUAAUUACAUAUUGUAUUUUUUUCAUGGAAAUAUAUAACUUUUUUUUUUUUUAUCCCUUAUGUAUUUAAUGAGCAAUUAUUUUUAAUUUUGAAUGUGGGAACUGGAUUUAAAAAAAAAAAAAAACUAAAAACUGUGUAAACUGUAGCCUUGAACACUUCAGUCAUGGAAUGUUUGCAGUGAUGUACUUUGUUUUUUUUGGUUUUUUUGUAUGUGUUUUUUCCCCUCAAUACUGAAGAUUCUUUUAUUUAAUGAUACAUAUGAAAUUGCUAAUAUAUUACCAAUCAACCAUUUAAUAUGUGUAAAUAUUAAAGUAAAAAUGGACUAAAUAAUUCAGAACGAUAAAAAUGAAUUAUUUUUUUCAAAACAGAGAAUUAACUUUUUUAUAUUUAAAUUAAUGCUAUCCCACCAUUAAGAAUAGGGGCUUCCUAUAUUUCUUUCUAGUGUUUAAGAUGCAAGUUUGGUUUUGUCGAUGUACCAUUACUCAUCUGACCUUGUUCUAUAUGCCAGUUGUAACUGAUAAAUGAUCUAGUACUAAAUAAAAGCGCAUGAGGAAUAUGUUUUUUAUUUUAUUUAAUAUCAAGUGGUGAAGGCAUCACAAUGCACUUUCUAAGUCCAAUAUAUAUGAUUGUGUCUAGAUUUCCAUGACUCUACAAAAAUGUUUGUCUAGUUGUCUAAUAAAAUAGAGC